GGGGUUCUCCAGGCUGAAAGAUGUUCGUUCAAAGUCACAGUGCUGCCAUGAGGAGCCUCGGGUUGUCACAAGAAGCUAAUUUUAAGUUGUUUUUGAAUAUGUCGCUGUGCAGAUGCCAGUUGUAUUCACUGCAGUUUGUGGCUGGAGUAACCACAACUUGCAUGUUAUUGCAGUGCCAUCCAACCUUGUCCACAGUGCAGCCUUCAAAGCCAAAUACAUUGGAAAUGGAAGAUGAAGAUACGAUCGAUGUGUUUCAACAACAGACGGGCGGAUGGAUUUAAUCGGCCAUGUGCAUCACCACUUUCUUCCUGGACACCACCAACUUUCCUGGCCUCUGAGGCACACAGCGCCUGCUUCUUCGCAGCUCGUCUCAACAGAAUUCCACGCAGAAGAAGUUUCCCGUUUCUCUGCUACACAUAACUGCUGUAUAUUUUCAUUCGCGCCCCUUUUACUUUUCUGUCUUUGUACAUAAGCCACAUCCACGUCACCCUGAGUUCAGAUUUUGUUUUUCCAUGCUGUAUUGUGAUAAGUGUUAAGGACUUCCCUUCCAGACUGUUAGGACUGGUGAUAGAGUGAGCAUUAAGUAAAACUGACUUUAUUGAUCAAAAUCUGCUCAGCUGAUCUUGGUCGGUGGCCAGCAAAUCUGUUCUUAAAGUGUACAAUUUUUGGAACUGGCUGUCACUUAGUGAACCAUAUGCCAAGUAUGGGGAUCACGGGAUAUGCUGACAUUUGGGUUCUGUCAUAUUCACAAAACAUAUUUGAUUUUUUACAUUUUUUAAAAAUAGUACUGGAUGUGUAGAGGAAUGUUCUGAGAAAUCGUUUUUGCUAGGCCACUUCAAAUUUUGGGAAGCCCUAAGAGAUGUUCCAGCAAAAUAAACAUCUGUAUUGUCUAUUAAGAUGCUUGUUGAAAUAAAGCUAUUGUCUUUUUCCAAACUU